rnacentral:rRNA from 1 species
GACGUGGGGGGCGAGCGUUAAUCGGAUUUACUGGGCGUAAAGCGCGCGUAGGUGGCUAAUUAAGUCAAAUGUGAAAUCCCCGAGCUUAACUUGGGAAUUGCAUUCGAUACUGGUUAGCUAGAGUAUGGGAGAGGAUGGUAGAAUUCCAGGUGUAGCGGUGAAAUGCGUAGAGAUCUGGAGGAAUACCGAUGGCGAAGGCAGCCAUCUGGCCUAAUACUGACACUGAGGUGCGAAAGCAUGGGGAGCAAAC